UACGUAGGGUGCGAGCGUUGUCCGGAAUUAUUGGGCGUAAAGGGCUCGUAGGCGGUCUGUCGCGUCGGUAGUGAAAACUCAGGGCUUAACCCUGAGCCUGCUUCCGAUACGGGCAGACUAGAGGUAUGCAGGGGAGAAUGGAAUUCCUGGUGUAGCGGUGAAAUGCGUAGAUAUCAGGAGGAACACCGGUGGCGAAGGCGGCUACCUGGACAGAAACUGACGCUGAGGCGCGAAAGCUAGGGGAGCAAACAGG
rnacentral:rRNA from 1 species